CUCAGUUUUGUAUUGCUGCAUGAAAUAAGUUAAAAGAGGGCUCUGUGUGUUUACAGUGACUUUGAAAAGAUAAAAAAUAUUUUUACUAUACCUGUGAGAGGUUUAUGUCUUAUGUCCCAGACAUUGUAACCUGUCCCUAAGCACAAACAGAGUAUUAUAGGUUUAUUGCACGUUGUGCCUCCAUCAAAAAUGUGAACCCUGUUUUCAGCAGAGAACCAACAGCAACUGCAGUUACAUCAUGCUCAGAUAUGUUUGAACAACCCUAAACAUAGCUGGGGGACACAUCACAAAGAUAUCCUGGUGGUCACUUCACGGACACAAGUCCCCUUCAGAAGGUGACUUUUGUGCAUCUAAGCAGUUGUCCACAAUACUGCUUAGGUGGGUAAAGCAAUACUUAGCAGCACAUCUUCUGGAGAUGGACUGGUGGAGCAGCUUCUGUUGACAUAUGUCCUUUUACUUCAUUUUCUUGGAGACACAGGCUAUGGAUUUUGGGACUCAAUAGUCAAGAGCCACCUCUCUGAAAUUGGACAUGGACAGAUCCACAACAGUGAACAACAGUUUAUGGGUUCACUUGACACCUCAGGUUGGAAGAUAGUAAACUCAGCUAAAAAAUAAAAUAAAAUAAACCGAACAGAUCAUCUUUAAAGACUAUUAGAUAGGAUAAUUAUAAGUUUUAACAGUUCAAGGGUGAAAGUUAUUCACGUAUGUCUACUUAUUAAAACAGAGUUUUUAAUGAAGUGAUAUGGUGUUGUAGCCUAGUUUCCCAACCAGAAUUGUUUGUCAGACCACAAAAUCACUUAGGGAUUAAAACCUAAAAUCAGCAACAAAAUCUGACUAUAGUUUGCUGAUGGACUUUGUAAUAACUUCUUCCUUUCUCCUACCUACACUCUGUCAGCAUAAAUUUAAACUUCAUCUCACACUGACAGACACAGAUAAUAGCAAUUGUUGGCUAUUAUUCUCUACUACCACAUCAAAAACUCCCCACCAAACAGCUCAGGAGGUUUUCCUCUCUCUAGAUGCACUUUACAGACUGCAAGGCCUAGGCUGCCCAGCUCUGAGGUCAAGAAGCUAUGAAAGGUAGACAAGUAUCUGUAGUGUUCUAGGGGAUGUGAUGGACAGAAUCGUGCUGAGUUCAGAUUAAUCACUGGAUAAUUGUUAGGUCUUAUUACUGAGUGCUUUUUAGAAGCUCACAAAUUGGCCAAAUCAUGAAAGGUUUUCAUUUUGAACAGCAUCCCUGAUCUUGUUUUAGGUAACUCCUCAAGCAGGACUAAUACAGUGUCAUGAGGAUUCCUCAAGCUUAUUCUUUGAAAUAGUAAGAUCCUUUAGAAGCAGCAUUUCAGAAGAGGAAAAAAAGUCAAUCCAAACAAAAUGAAAACAGCUGGAUGUAAACUCUCAACAAAGAUUUUUUUUUUUCUAGUCGAAUGUCUUAGCUUUGGCAAACUUAGAAGCAAAUAAAAAUAAAUUUUUAUAUUAGAGGCAAUCUGAAAUGGUUGCCAGCCAUGUCUAUCCUAAAGCAUAAAAAAUAAAUGUCUUAUUCUUAUUCACUCAAAUUAAGCAGUGCUUCACAUUAAAAUAUUUUACUGGAGAUACAGUCAGAAUUAGAUAUCACUUUUCUUGAGUGGGAAGUCUGCCUGUAAACAUACAGGUAAUCUGAAACACAAUGCUUUGGUCAAUUAAAUUGUGUUUCAGACUUUGGUUUAUUGUUUUGUUCUUGUUUUUAUGGAUGGCAUCAAAUUGUAUGAUCACUCUAUAACUUGACAACAGCACAGUUUAAACCAAUGCAGAAAGG
ensembl:lncRNA